ACGGUGGAUGCCCUGGCAGUCAGAGGCGAUGAAGGGCGUGCUAAUCUGCGAUAAGCGCCGGUAAGGUGAUAUGAACCGUUAUAACCGGCGAUACCCGAAUGGGGAAACCCAGUGUGAUUCGUCACACUAUCAUUAACUGAAUCCAUAGGUUAAUGAGGCGAACCGGGGGAACUGAAACAUCUAAGUACCCCGAGGAAAAGAAAUCAACCGAGAUUCCCCCAGUAGCGGCGAGCGAACGGGGAGGAGCCCAGAGCCUGAAUCAGCAUGUGUGUUAGUGGAAGCGUCUGGAAAGGCGCGCGAUACAGGGUGACAGCCCCGUACACAAAAGCGCAUGUGCUGUGAGCUCGAUGAGUAGGGCGGGACACGUGGUAUCCUGUCUGAAUAUGGGGGGACCAUCCUCCAAGGCUAAAUACUCCUGACUGACCGAUAGUGAACCAGUACCGUGAGGGAAAGGCGAAAAGAACCCCGGCGAGGGGAGUGAAAAAGAACCUGAAACCGUGUACGUACAAGCAGUGGGAGCACCCUUUGGGUGUGACUGCGUACCUUUUGUAUAAUGGGUCAGCGACUUAUAUUCUGUAGCAAGGUUAACCGAAUAGGGGAGC
rnacentral:rRNA from 1 species